rnacentral:siRNA from 1 species
GGGAUUGAGAAUCGAAUUGGGAA